CCUUCAUCAUACCUCGGGUGGUGAAGGUGGCAAGAGAAUUUAUUUCCAGGCUUGGAAAUGUACCCAGCCCUUUGGCCAGAAACCAGCAGUGCAAUUGGCUCCAUCCUAGCUGCAAGGGAGGCUGGGAAAUGUAGUCCUCCUGUGAGGCCACAGCAUGGGCAACAUACGCACUGUCCUCUGCCCAGGGGCAACGUGAGACUGAAGCUGCAGGCCCAAGUCUGGUUGCCCCCAAACCACAUCCUAGAGAUCCCCAGAGAUGCAAGCCUGAUGCUAUAUUUCCGCAUAAGGUUUUAUUUCCGGAACUGGCAUGGCAUGAAUCCUCGGGAACCGGCUGUGUACCGUUGUGGGCCCCCAGGAACCGAGGCAUC
rnacentral:lncRNA from 10 species